rnacentral:lncRNA from 1 species
GUGGUGCACAGAGCACUAUUUAUUUCCAGAAAUCAGGAAUUAAGGUACAAAUACAGUCUAUGUAAUUUUGAACUAACUAUUGCAAAAUUUAAAUUUUCUGUUAAGAAAGCUGGAGAGAGUGCUGAUUAAGUUACUAAUUUUUUUCCAGGAAAGUAACGAUGAGAAAUCACAGACGGGUAUUUAUAUACCCUUGACUGGAGACGUAGAGAGCAGAGAAAAUGGAGGGAGACUGGCAAAACCUAUCACCAUGAAAACGGAACUAGAAAUGGUGAAACCGAAUUUCCUAUGAAAAUACCCCAAAAGGUAAAAAAUAGAAGAGAGAAAAAGAUUUCCUCUAAUCAUGAUUAUUUAUAAUUCUAUUUUCACUGCGAAGUCUUCUUUAUGAGCACAGCAGUAACAUUGCCUAACACUGAAUUUGUGGACUAAGUGACUUGCGAAGCUUUAAUUUCUCAUCUAGAUGAAUUAUUGAAAUAUGAAAAUUGCCUUAUGGAUUUAAGAUAAAAUGAGAGCACAAUUAAGAGAUUCUUGUAUCAAUACAUAACUGUUUGACUUGAUAGUUCCAACAGAAGGGUGUGGUUGGGUUGAAAAUAGAUGAAAUUUUAAAAUCACUCUAAGUAUAUAAACUCAGUUUGUCCAGUUCUUCUGUAAGGGAAAAAAUGAUAGUUGUAUCAAAUAAACAGAAAAAACUCAUACUUCCAGUUUCUUUUAUAUUUUGAUAACUCAUUUUCCUUUUUUUAAAAGGGAAACUGGUGCUCAAUGAUACAGGCAUUGAAAUCGACGAGGAAAACUCAAUCACUGUUGAAUCGGAGAAAAAGGUGGAUCCGAUCAGAAGUGAAAUUGAAGAGCUGAACGAUGAGUCAAAUUUCAAAAUAGACCGAAGUAAUGUGACAACAGGCGCAUCCAUCAUGACUAAACAAUCAGGGUUGUCUCGAUUUUUCAAUCAAUUGCGGAAUAAAAAACCUCCUCCUAUUCAAUCAGAGAAGAAUAUCACAACAGCAACAGUGCUGGGUAGACACAGAAAUGGAAAUCAGCAAGAGCGGAGAAAAAUUGAUGAUAUGAAAUUCAGAAACAACAGGACAAAGGUAAGGACAGACCUUCAGAUUGAGAGUUCAUCCUACUUUAGAUGAGACAAAAGUUCCGAAUGAUAGUCAACAGAUGGUUAGCUUGUGGUUACAAUUUCGAAGAGAAAGAGUUGAUUUGAAAAAGCAACAAAUUCAAACAAACAUGUAUGGAAUAAUUUGAUGUGCUGAUACAACAUUCUAUUCAUGAAAAUUUGUGUAAAUUGAAAUUUCCUGUUCAAUGAUGGACUGAAUUCCAAGUUUUAACAAUUUACUAUAAGUAGGAUUCAGCUCUUAGAUGACAAGUGGGGUUUGCUCACUUCAAUGAUGAGCUAUUUUAGAUUGUUCAUAAGAGAGAAUGCUCGAACUGUUGAUAAGUAAAGCAUUAGACCAGUUGAUAACCAAAGCACUACUUGUUUUUAAAAUUUCAUUGAGGAAUGAUUGAGAAAAUGAUACAUAAUUUUGUAUCAGCUUCUAAGCUAGAUAUGAUCUAAAGCACUUGGCACUGAGACACAAAAAACAUAAGGAAUCAUUCGUAUUUUUAUCAUCAUUUAUAUUCAAUUGUCAGAAGAGCCUUGAAAACUUGAAAAAUCAAAUUCUCAUGGGGUUUAUAUUCUAGACUUCGUUGUCAGCUCAUUAUUCGCGAAUAACGGUUUGUGUCAAGACAGGUAGAUUAAUUGGCGUUACCUAACUUUUUUGCAUUUCGCACCUGCCUGUUUUGGGCUGUACUAUACCCCAAUUUGCAUCUCAGCAUUUGAAAUGGUGGGUAUGGGAUGCGAAAAAGUUAGGUAAUACUAAUUGACCCACUCGUCUUGUGCCUCAGAAGCAAACUCGUUUUCACAGAGUUCCAAUGCCCUCAAGAAAAAGAGAAAAGUCUAGACUAACUUUCAAGCAUGAAAUUUUAUCAUUUAAAAGUUGUAAAAACAUUGCGUGACUCUAAUCUAUGAUUUUUCUACUUGUUUCAGUCCAAAGCAUGUACAAUCUUUUGAGGGGCAAUCAACUAAUACAACCUCCAUUUUGUUUAUUCAAUUUUUACAACAUUUGUAACGUUUUAAAUUUCACUUUUCUAGUCAUUUCUACCUAUGAUUUGUUCUUGAAAUUUUAAAUAAUAAAAUGAAAUACUCGAAACCUCCAAUUUUCUCUUUCUUAAGCAUGAUAUCUUCUGUUUCAUUUUAACGUCUCCAAGCUUAGAAGCAGAUAGUCAGGAGGCUGCAAUAUACUAGCGAUGGGUCCAAUUUAACACAAAACGCAUCUGCAGUUGCCUCCCUGAUUGUUUGUAACUAAUGAUGAUCCAAACGGUAUAACUCUAAAGGGGAAAGUUUACUCUAAAUGAGUUUAUUUUUCUUUAGUAAGAGUAUACCAGUGCUUAUGGAAACAAGCAACGUGGUUAUAAGAGGUUACGUCAAAAUCUUAAUCUCUAAUUUAUAGAGAGCUCCUUUCUACCUCUCUGCACUCAAAUAAAGUCCCUUUAUACUCAGAGUUAAGACAACUCGAUUAUCAGCUGACCGGCCAUGGAGGCACAAUCGAGUGCACCCAAACGAACGAUAUUGAGGGAUAAGGAUAUGGAAUCCUGCCAUGUCUGUCAUCCAAAAACAACAACAUCAACAAAAUUGAUCAAUUAAGAAGAAAAUGAGCUUGGUUUGUGAAUAAUUCCUUAAUCUAUUUCAUUUUGGACCGAUGGAAAUAACAAUUUACUCUUGAUAAACCACAAUUAGGUAAUAUUUUCAUCAUUUUUGUUCACAUUCGAGUCACCGCCAUCUUGGUGCACUCGUUUGUGAAUCCAUGAGCGAGAACCAAUCAGAAUUGGAUUUUUUUUAGGCCACUUUCAGCCCAUCCAAAAGUGAGUUGUCGUAACUCUGGGUAUGAAGGGACUCUACACUCAAAUAAAGAUGCCUUUAUCUGAAACCCACAGGAUUAUAGCAGAGAGGGACUUUUUGUGGCGAUCUCAUUUAGAAAGAUUAUUUGAUGCUCUUAUUAUAUUUCCGAGGAAAAUCCUGCAAUUCUUUCAAAGACAAGAGACCCUUCACUAGUAUUUUAUUUAUUAUAUUAUAU